rnacentral:tRNA from 1 species
GGUCAGGUGGCCGAGAGGCGAGGUAGGGGUCUGCAAAACCCUGGACGGCGGUUCGAUUCCGCCCUUGACCUCCU